rnacentral:lncRNA from 1 species
UGCAGCUUUUUUCGUGCUUCUCUUCUAAGUGUCGUUUUUUCUUGCUUUUCAAUUGUUGUUUCUCCAGUGUUGUUGUAUGUUCUCUCCUCUUCAUCUCCUCUCUCUCCCUUUGUGCAGAUGUGCGUGUGUGUUUUUAUGUUAUAUAAGGAGUAUUAUUGUGUGCAUGUGUGUGGACGUGAGAAGUUGAGGGAAUAAUGGGGUG